GGAGGGGUGGCUGAAUGGCUAAGGCACCGCACUCGAAAUGCGGCUUCCGUUUUUUUUCGGAAUUGCAGGUUCGAAUCCUGUCCCCUCCG
rnacentral:tRNA from 1 species